UGAAGAUCCUAGAAGCUUCCCAACAUGAUGAACAAUCAAAACAACACAUGAAUCACACAAACCACAUGCUUAUGAUCCUCUACAUGAAAAUCAACCAUCGCUGCUCUGAAGAUGCAGCACCUUCAGUGAACUACAGCUGCUUAUAUGGAGCUUGCUGUUUGGCUUCAUCUGGAAGUAAAGAAGCAACUGGAGGACAUUGACAUUUUUCAGACCCAACAAACUGAAGAUUCUAGAAGCUUCUCAACAUGAUAAACAAUCAAAACAA